GAGUUUGAUCGUGGCUCAGAUUGAACGCUGGCGGCAUGCCUUACACAUGCAAGUCGAACGGCAGCAUGAUCUAGCUUGCUAGAUUGAUGGCGAGUGGCGAACGGGUGAGUAAUACAUCGGAACGUGCCCUGUAGUGGGGGAUAACUAGUCGAAAGAUUAGCUAAUACCGCAUACGACCUGAGGGUGAAAGUGGGGGACCGCAAGGCCUCAUGCUAUAGGAGCGGCCGAUGUCUGAUUAGCUAGUUGGUGGGUAAAGGCCCACCAAGGCGACGAUCAGUAGCUGGUCUGAGAGGACGAUCAGCCACACUGGGACUGAGACGCGGCCCAGACUCCUACGGGAGGCAGCAGUGGGGAAUUUUGGACAAUGGGCGAAAGCCUGAUCCAGCAAUGCCGCGUGUGUGAAGAAGGCCUCGGUUGUAA
rnacentral:rRNA from 1 species